rnacentral:rRNA from 1 species
GACGAACGCUGGCGGCGUGCUUAACACAUGCAAGUCGAACGGACAGGCCCUGCUUUUGUGGGGUGCUCGAGUGGCGAACGGGUGAGUAACACGUGAGUAACCUGCCCUUGUCUUUGGGAUAACUUCAGGAAACUGGGGCUAAUACCGGAUAGGAGCUCCUGCUGCAUGGUGGGGGUUGGAAAGUUUCGGCGGUUGGGGAUAGACUCGCGGCUUAUCAGCUUGUUGGUGGGGUAGUGGAUUACCAAGGCUUUGACGGAUAGCCGGCCUGAGAGGGUGACCGGCCACAAUGGGACUAAGAUACGGACCAGAAGCCUACGGGAGGCAACAGUGGGGAAUAUGGCACAAUGGGCGGGAGCCAGAUGCAGCAACGCCGCGUGCGGGAUGACGGCCUUCGGGUUGUAAACCGCUGUCGCCGGAGACGAAGCGUGAGUGACGGUAAUGGGUAAAGAAGCACCGGCUAACUACGUG